GCUGUAAAGUCUUUAACAUGGGAUUCUGUGGGGAGUGCUUUUCUUUUGGCCACCCACAUUUUACUAAACUGACAAAUUUAGUUUCUCCUGAAAUCUAGACAUUAUAAUGUAGGUUUAUUUUAGAGAUGUCUUGUAAAAUUACAGCUCAUUUUAAUCAAGACAACAUAUUUAGGGGGAAAUUCCAUAACAAAUAUUUUGUUUACCUUUUAACGGCGCCUGCUGGAGGAUGUGUGUGUGCU